rnacentral:rRNA from 1 species
GACGAACCGUCCAAACGUUAUUCGGAAUCACUGGGCUUACAGAGUUCGUAGGCGGUCUGGAAAGUUGGGUGUGAAAUCCCUCGGCCUAACCGAGGAACUGCGCUUGAAACUACCAGACUCGAGGGAGAUAGAGGAAAGCGGAACUGAUGGUGGAGCGGUGAAAUGCGUUGAUAUCAUCAGGAACACCGGUGGCGAAGGCGGCUUUCUGGGUCUUACCUGACGCUGAGGAGCGAAAGCAUGGGGAGCGAACAGG